CUGCAGGCUCAGGCUUGUCCUCCACAAACUCUUUCACCUUGAUGUCUUUGAGUAUCUGUGAGACGAGUCGCUCAUAAAACCAGUCCAGGUCCUGAGGGUCCUCCGGCCAGACCAGUUUCCAGACAGAGACAGGCGAGCUAAUGAGAAUGGAAAAUGAAGCCAACACAGAAGAUCCAAGAACUGCAGUUCCUGGAGUGGCCACUUGGAGCAGGUUACAAAAAAGGUUGGCGUCUCGGAUGGUCCAUGGUCCUUCUCAGCUCCACCUCUUUGGUUAUUUUUGGAUUAGCUCAAGACAGAUGCAACCAUCACCACCCUGGGCUUCAAAACCUUUCUCCAGGACCCCUCUGAGUGACACUGAAGGGUUUGUCCAUCUUUAUAUAUGGUAAGUAGCUGUUUUAUUACUGUUUCCAGUCUGUAGUUAAGCUAAGCUAACCAGUGGCUAGGUGUUAAAUUGGUGUUUUGGUGUGGUUUCUAACCACUAGAGCUGCAACUAUUGUUUUCAUUUUUGAUUCAUCUACUUCAGUAGAAGCCAACUGGACUUGUCUUGUAGGAUCUUAAAGACUUGAAGAUGCUUUAUUUCUGUGAACAUAAGAAGCCUGUAGGAUGAGUGGGCACAUGAAGUCCAGUUUUAUCUACUGAAGCUCUUAGAAUCACCAUGAUGUGAAUGACUGAAAAUCUAAACGGACAUAAUCUGCUUAUUAUUUUUUUCAAUUAAUCUGUGAGUUGUUUGUCUGUAAAAUGUCAGAAAAUGGGGAUAAAUGUUGACCAGUGCUUUCCAAAGCCCAAGAUGACCUCCUCAGAUGUCUACAACCCAAAAGUUAUGGUCCGUGCAUGAAGUAUAAUUCGUUGUUGUUGCUCACACUGUACAAAGAGUUUCUUUUAAUGUAGGAGGAAAGAAAUGUGGGAAAGACCUGGAAUCAAAGGAACUGAACUUUUGUCUUUUCUUUUAAAAAGUGACAUGAACCAAAUAAUCGUUUUUCAAAAAGUUGAUAAAAAUCAAAUCAAUCGAAAAGUUGUUAGAACUUAUAAAUACGAUGUCAGAUGGUCCUAGGAUAAAUCACUGUAAGGUGAUCAGUUAAACCAGACCACUGAGUAACAUCAAAACCAACAGGAAGGUGUUUAGGUACCCAGAGAUCAUUUGGUGCUGAAAUGGUUUUGAUCUUCUUAUCGCACUCUAAGUGGCAUUUUUCCUACAAUGUAAAAACCUUUUUUUUUGAAAGAAAUAAAAUC